rnacentral:rRNA from 1 species
CCUACGGGGGGCAGCAGUGGGGGAUAUUGCACAAUGGGGGGAACCCUGAUGCAGUGACGCCGCGUGGGUGAAGAAGCGCCUCGGCGCGUAAAGCCCUGUCAGCAGGGAAGAAAAUGACGGUAACUGAAGAAGAAGCCCCGGCUAACUACGUGCCAGCAGCCGCGGUAAUACGUAGGGGGCAAGGGUGCUCCGGAUUUACUGGGGGUAAAGGGGGCGCAGACGGCGAAGCAAGCCUGGAGUGAAAGCCCGGGGCCAAACCCCGGGACUGCUCGUGGAACGGCGUGGCUGGAGUGCAGGAGGGGCAGGCGGAAUUCCGGGUGUAGCGGUGAAAUGCGUAGAUAGCAGGAGGAACACCGGUGGCGAAGGCGGCCUGCUGGACUGCAACUGACGUUGAGGCCCGAAAGCGUGGGGAGCAAACAGGAUUAGAUACCCGGGUAGUC